rnacentral:rRNA from 1 species
GUUUGUUUGGAGUUAUAAAGAAUUUGACCUGCCCCCUGAUUAACUAUUAAAGGGCCGCAGUAUUAUAACUGUGCAAAGGUAGCAUAAUCAUUAGGUUUUUAAUUGAAAUCUCGUAUGAAUGGUUGGACAAGAGAAAGACUCUCUUUAUAUUAAGUUUUGAAUUUAACUUUUAAGUGAAAAGGCUUAAAUAUUCUAAAGGGACGAUAAGACCCUAUAAAACUUUACAUUGUUAUUAGUUUUGAUUGAAUUUAUGAAAUAAGAAUUUUAUUUGAUUAUUUGUUAUGUUGGGGAGACACAAGUAAAAUAUUUUUUUUAACUGCUUGACAAUUAUACAAUUAUUAGUGAGUAAGUGGAGGAUCCUUUUUAAGAUUAGUAGAUUAAGUUACUUUAGGGAUAACAGUGUAAUUUCUUUUGAGAGUUCUUAUCGAAAAAGAAGGUUGCAACCUCGAUGUUGAAUUAAAAUAUCUAUAUAAUGGAGAGGUUAUAUAAGAAGGUCUGUUCGACCUUGAAAUUUUUACAUGAUUUGAGUUCAAACCGGUGUGAG